GGGGCACUGGGAGGGGCUGCCCCAUAGAUCUGCCCCAUAGAUCAGCACGAGAGAUGGCACAGGUAUGGCUCUGCCCCAUAGGUGGCACUGGGGGGGGCUCUGCCCCAUAGAUGGCACAGCCCCCCGCGAUGGCGCCUCUCUUCCUCCUCCUCCUCCUCCUCCUCUCCCCCUCCCCGACUUCCGCCCACCCGGAUUUCGCCUACAGCGCCCCCAACCGCCCGGAGCCCCCCGCGAUGGCGCCUCUCUUCCUCCUCCUCCUCCUCCUCCUCUCCCCCUCCCCGACUUCCGCCCACCCGGAUUUCGCCUACAGCGCCCCCAACCGCCCGGAGGUCCGCACCACCACCGGCUCCGUCGAACCCCAUAGCGCCCCAUAGCGCCCCAUAGCGCCCCAGAACCACCCCAGAACCCCACAGCCACCCCAUAACCACCCCAUAGCCAUCCCACAGCCACCCCAUAACCACCCCAGCAGAACCCCAUAGCCACCCCGUAACCCCAUAGCCACCCUAUAGUGCCCCAUCACCACCCCAUAACCCCAUCACCACCCCAUAACCAACCUAUAACCCCCCCAUAAGCCACCCCAUCACCCCAUAACCCCACUCCAUCACCCCAUCACCACCCCACAACCCCACCCCACAACCCCA
rnacentral:lncRNA from 1 species